rnacentral:rRNA from 1 species
UACGAAGGGGGCUAGCGUUGCUCGGAAUCACUGGGCGUAAAGCGCACGUAGGCGGAUUGUUAAGUCGGGGGUGAAAUCCUGGAGCUCAACUCCAGAACUGCCUUUGAUACUGAAGAUCUUGAGUUCGGGAGAGGUGAGUGGAACUGCGAGUGUAGAGGUGAAAUUCGUAGAUAUUCGCAAGAACACCAGUGGCGAAGGCGGCUCACUGGCCCGAUACUGACGCUGAGGCACGAAAGCGUGGGGAGCGAACAGG